AAUUUGACCCAACACGGGGAAACUCACCAGGUCCAGACAUGCUUAGGAUUGACAGAUUGAUAGCUCUUUCUUGAUUGUAUGGGUGGUGGUGCAUGGCCGUUUUUAGUUGGUGGAGUGAUUUGUCUGCUUAAUUGCGAUAACGAACGAGACCUUAACCUGCUAAAUAGCCCGGCUAGCUUUGGCUGGUCGCUGGCUUCUUAGAGGGACUAUCGGCUCAAGCCGAUGGAAGUUUGAGGCAAUAACAGGACUGUCGUAUCCUUAGAUGUUCUGG
rnacentral:rRNA from 1 species